GGUUAUCAACUUGCUUCUUAAUCGAUUGUUAGCCUUAGGGUUAGGGUUAAAUAAUGACCUCGAAUCAGAUGAGACUACCCGCCGAACUUAAGCAUAUCAUUAAGCGGAGGAAAAGAAACUAACAAGGAUUCCCUCAGUAACGGCGAGUGAAGAGGGAAGAGCUCAGUUUUGAAAUCUGGCAGUCUCUUGACUGUCCGAGUUGUAAAUUGAAGAGAAUGUCAUCCAUGCUGGACCACGUCUAAAUUGUAAUGAUCCACAGUCCUUUGAUGGAGUAUCAGAGAGGGUAAUAAUCCCGUCUUUAACGUGGACUACCAGUGUUGAUGUGAUGCACUCUCUCAGAGUCGAGUAGUUUGGGAAUGCUGCUCUAAUGGGAGGUAAACUCCUUCUAAAGCUAAAUAUUGGCGAGAGACCGAUAGCGAACAAGUACCGUGAGGGAAAGAUGAAAAGAACUCUGAAAAGAGAGUCAAACAGAACGUGAAAUUGCUGAAAGGGAAGCAUUUGGAGUCAGAUGCGUCUUCAUGUUUUACCACUGAUUUGGUGACUUGGGGACGGGCCAGCACUCACGUAGACCAUUGGAAAAGGGGUCAUGGAAUGUAGCUCGUCUAAGAGUGAUUUAUAGCCUUGAUUCGUAUGCAGUGGUGUUGUGUGAGGUGUAAAGCAAAAGUUGCUUGAGACUGGCAUAAUGGCUCCAAGUGACCCGUCUUGAAACACGGACCAAGGAGUCUAACAUGUAUGCAAGUAUUAGAGUGAUUGAAACUCUGAAUGCGGAAUGAAAGUGGUCUUUGACUGAGAAUCUCUGGAGGCAUCAGUACCCCGAGUCUAUUUGUCUUUGACAAGAGAUUUGGAGGUAGAGCAUACAUGUUGGGACCCGAAAGAUGGUGAACUAUGCCUGAAUAGGGUGAAGUCAGAGGAAACUCUGAUGGAGGCCCGUAGCGAUUCUGAC
rnacentral:rRNA from 1 species